rnacentral:tRNA from 1 species
GGCAUGGCUCAGUGGUAAAGAGUCUGCUUUGCAUGCAGAAUGUCCCAGGUUCAAUCCUGAGCAUCUCCC